rnacentral:lncRNA from 10 species
AAGAAAGAAACCAUCAGGUGAAUUUGCAGAAUCUAGAAUGGACUCUGCUUCCAGAUUGCCGAAAAAAAGAAAUGAUCAGACAGGGUAAUUAUUGCUGCGUUAGAGCAGUGUUUCUCAAACCUGAGUGCCCAUUAGAAUUAUUAGAAUUUAUUCUCAAAGAGUAUAGAAGCAGGUAUACUGAUGAAUUUCUCUCCCACCCCUGGCCACCUUUGUUGCCCUUCCAACAGGUAACCAAAAUUGCCAGUUUCUUGGUUAUCUUUCCUAAACACUAAAUGUCUCUCUUUUUUUUGAGAUAGUCUUGCUCUAUUGCCCAAGCCA